rnacentral:rRNA from 1 species
GUGCCAGCAGCCGCGGUAAUACGUAGGUGGCAAGCGUUGUCCGGAUUUAUUGGGCGUAAAGCGAGCGCAGGCGGUUUUUUAAGUCUGAUGUGAAAGCCUUCGGCUCAACCGAAGAAGUGCAUCGGAAACUGGGAAACUUGAGUGCAGAAGAGGACAGUGGAACUCCAUGUGUAGCGGUGAAAUGCGUAGAUAUAUGGAAGAACACCAGUGGCGAAGGCGGCUGUCUGGUCUGUAACUGACGCUGAGGCUCGAAAGUAUGGGUAGCAAACAGGAUUAGAUACCCUGGUAGUCCAUACCGUAAACGAUGAAUGCUAAGUGUUGGAGGGUUUCCGCCCUUCAGUGCUGCAGCUAACGCAUUAAGCAUUCCGCCUGGGGAGUACGGCCGCAAGGCUGAAACUCAAAGGAAUUGACGGGGGCCCGCACAAGCGGUGGAGCAUGUGGUUUAAUUCGAAGCUACGCGAAGAACCUUACCAGGUCUUGACAUACUAUGCAAAUCUAAGAGAUUAGACGUUCCCUUCGGAGACAUGGAUACAGGUGGUGCAUGGUUGUCGUCAGCUCGUGUCGUGAGAUGUUGGGUUAAGUCCCGCAACGAGCGCAACCCUUAUUAUCAGUUGCCAGCAUUAAGUUGGGCACUCUGGUGAGACUGCCGGUGACAAACCGGAGGAAGGUGGGGAUGACGUCAAAUCAUCAUGCCCCUUAUGACCUGGGCUACACACGUGCUACAAUGGAUGGUACAACGAGUUGCGAACUCGCGAGAGUAAGCUAAUCUCUUAAAGCCAUUCUCAGUUCGGAUUGUAGGCUGCAACUCGCCUACAUGAAGUCGGAAUCGCUAGUAAUCGUGGAUCAGAAUGCCACGGUGAAUACGUUCCCGGGCCUUGGCCACACCGCCCGU